rnacentral:rRNA from 1 species
GGCCAGGUAAGUCAGGCGUGAAAGGCAUCGGCUCAACCGGUGUAAGCGUUUGAAACUACUUGGCUUGAGUACAGGAGAGGAAAGUGGAAUUCCUAGUGUAGCGGUGAAAUGCGUAGAUAUUAGGAGGAACACCAGUGGCGAAGGCGACUUUCUGGACUGUAACUGACGCUGAGGUACGAAAGCGUGGGUAGCGAACAGGAUUAGAUACCCUGGUAGUCCACGCCGUAAACGAUGAGUGCUAGGUGUUGGGGGUCGAACCUCAGUGCCGCAGCUAACGCAUUAAGCACUCCGCCUGGGGAGUACGGUCGCAAGACUGAAACUCAAAGGAAUUGACGGGGACCCGCACAAGCAGCGGAGCAUGUGGUUUAAUUCGACGCAACGCGAAGAACCUUACCAAGGCUUGACAUCCUUUUGACCACUUUAGAGAUAAAGUUUUCUCUUCGGAGACAGAAGUGACAGGUGGUGCAUGGUUGUCGUCAGCUCGUGUCGUGAGAUGUUGGGUUAAGUCCCGCAACGAGCGCAACCCUUACCUUUAGUUGCCAUCAUUAAGUUGGGCACUCUAGAGGGACUGCCGGUGACAAACCGGAGGAAGGUGGGGAUGACGUCAAAUCAUCAUGCCCCUUAUGUCUUGGGCUACACACGUGCUACAAUGGUCGGUACAACGGGGAGCUAAGCCGUGAGGUGGAGCAAAUCCCAAUAAGCCGAUCCCAGUUCGGAUUGUAGGCUGCAACUCGCCUACAUGAAGUUGGAGUU